rnacentral:rRNA from 1 species
UACGUAGGGUGCGAUCGUUAAUCGGAAUUACUGGGCGUAAAGCGUGCGCAGGCGGUUCGCUAAGACAGGUGUGAAAUCCCCGGGCUUAACCUGGGAAUGGCGCUUGUGACUGGCGGGCUGGAGUACGGCAGAGGGAGGUGGAAUUCCACGUGUAGCAGUGAAAUGCGUAGAGAUGUGGAGGAACACCGAUGGCGAAGGCAGCCUCCUGGGCCAGUACUGACGCUCAUGCACGAAAGCGUGGGGAGAAAACAGG